rnacentral:rRNA from 1 species
UGGGGAAUAUUGCACAAUGGGCGCAAGCCUGAUGCAGCAACGCCGCGUGAGGGAUGACGGCCUUCGGGUUGUAAACCUCUUUUAGCAGGGAAGAAGCGAAAGUGACGGUACCUGCAGAAAAAGCGCCGGCUAACUACGUGCCAGCAGCCGCGGUAAUACGUAGGGCGCAAGCGUUAUCCGGAAUUAUUGGGGCGUAAAGAGCUCGUAGGCGGUUUGUCGCGUCUGCUGUGAAAUCCCGAGGCUCAACCUCGGGUCUGCAGUGGGUACGGGCAGACUAGAGUGCGGUAGGGGAGAUUGGAAUUCCUGGUGUAGCGGUGGAAUGCGCAGAUAUCAGGAGGAACACCGAUGGCGAAGGCAGAUCUCUGGGCCGUAACUGACGCUGAGGAGCGAAAGGGUGGGGAGCAAACAGGCUUAGAUACCCUGGUAGUCCACCCCGUAAACGUUGGGAACUAGUUGUGGGGUCCAUUCCACGGAUUCCGUGACGCAGCUAACGCAUUAAGUUCCCCGCCUGGGGAGUACGGCCGCAAGG